AGGCAGCAGCAGGCGAGGAGGCGGUGUUCCCCUCCCCCCCAGUACCCACCACAGGGGAGGCGAGGGGGCUUCCUGGUCCUGAGAAGGGUCCUAGGAGCACAUGCAGUGACAGUGGUGUGAGGUACACAACACACACUCUACGAUUCCGAAGGCCCGGAGAUUAGGAUGCCACGAUUCACCAUGCUUAUGCUUACUACCAGGGAGAUCCAUGCUGCCGCAAUCGAUGCAGCAGGUGUCGAUUUAGCGGGGCUAGUGACGAUCCGAUAAAUCUACACCUGAGCUCUCUCCUGUCGACUCCAGUACUCCACCUUUCAGA